rnacentral:rRNA from 1 species
GGGUCAGUAGGUUGGUCGUGCCACCGGUACGUACUGGUCUCACUGAUUCCUCCUUCCUGAAGAACCGUAAGGCCAUUAAUUUGGUGUUGCGGGGAAACAGGACUGUUACUUUGAAAAAAUUAGAGUGUUUAAAGCAAGCUAACGCUUGAAUACAUUAGCAUGGAAUAAUGAAAUAGGACGAUCGAUCCUAUUUUAUUGGUUUCUAGGAUUGACGUA